UAGGGAUAAAAGCAAACAUUAAACAUAAAAUCCGCCCUCAAGAAGCCUAUUUUCGCAAACAAUCAUCUUCCAUACCCACUUUGAUGAGAUAAUCAUCUAAUGAAAACAAAUUGAUGGUAAUCAAAUUGAUGGUAUACAUUAAAAGAGGUAAAAAUUAAAGACAAAAGAAGUAUUGAACUUUCAGAUGACUUUAUUGGAGGAAAGACAUUUUUCUGCAACUUUAUAACUUUUCCGGCUGUCUAUCCUAAAGCCAACAUGACAGCAUGUACUCCAAAAGGUAUAGAUUUUUAUCUCAUUAAAAUUAAAGCAGUUUUAAAGAAUACACUUACAAGUUGAGUUCCUGAGAUAGAAAAAGAUAAAACAUAUCAAUUUUAUUUUAAUAGUUCUAUUGACGUAUAACUACAAACAAUAAAUGGCAUAUAUUUCAAAUGUACAAUUUGAUAAGCUUUGACUACAAACAAUAAAUGGCAUAUAUUUCAAAUGUACAAUUUGAUAAGCUUUGACUAUGUACAUAUUAUACCUGUAAAGUUAUCACCACAUCCAAGAGAUUAAACAUAUUCAUCCUCCCAAAAUUUCCUAAUGUACUUUUCUCAAUUAUCUCUUCUGCAUCAUCCCCUGACCCAUUCCUUAGGCAG
rnacentral:lncRNA from 1 species